GCGGACGUGGUGGAAUAGGUAGACACAAGAGACUUAAAAUCUCUCGGAGGUUACUCCGUGCCGGUUCGAGUCCGGCCGUCCGCA
rfam:Rhizobiales bacterium TMED28 12761, whole genome shotgun sequence.